UACGAAGGGGGCUAGCGUUGCUCGGAAUUACUGGGCGUAAAGGGCGCGUAGGUGGUUACAUAAGUGAGGUGUGAAAGCCCCGGGCUUAACCUGGGAACUGCAUCUUAUACUGUGUAGCUGGAGUGCGAUAGAGGGUAGUGGAAUUUCCGGUGUAGCGGUGAAAUGCGUAGAUAUCGGAAGGAACACCAGUGGCGAAGGCGGCUACCUGGAUUGACACUGACACUGAGGCGCGAAAGCGUGGGGAGCAAGCAGG
rnacentral:rRNA from 1 species